rnacentral:rRNA from 1 species
GUGUCAGCAGCCGCGGUAAUACAGGGGGGGCAAGCGUUGUUCGGAAUUACUGGGCGUAAAGGGCUCGUAGGUGGCCAACUAAGUCGGACGUGAAAUCCCUCAGCUUAACUGGGGAACUGCAUCCGAUACUGGAUGGCUUGAGUUUGGGAGAGGGAUGCGGAAUUCCAGGUGUAGCGGUGAAAUGCGUAGAUAUCUGGAGGAACACCGGUGGCGAAGGCGGCAUCCUGGACCAACACUGACACUGAUGAGCGAAAGCCAGGGGAGCAAACGGGAUUAGAAACCCGCGUAGUCC